AAUGGCUACUUGCAAAGGAGUCCAUCUUGUCUGAUAGGCCAGUUCACUAUGGGAUUUUUCUUGACUUAACAGUGAUACUCACACAAAGAGGACCAUUGACACUGCCGAGUGAUAUCUUCUUCAGAGGUGCACAAAGUCAUCGGCUUCACCCUCUCUUCCAGGGUCAUCGAAGUCCAGUGGCAAGACAAAGGUGAAGACAUUAAUGACAUCAAAAAGUGUUCCUCAUUCUCCCUGCUUCUCCUCAAAACUAUGACACCUUUUAAAACAGUGAGACAUCCAUGACCGUGUCUGUUAUCCUCCACCACAACAAUUGGGACACUUGAAAAGAUGUCCUCAGUGUCACCUUGGCCACCCCUGGAGCUUUGCCACAACAACGUUUCGCAAGCGAUUUAGCUUUGGUGUAUCAGAGAUAUGGAGAUCCAUUAGAAACUCCAGAGGAAAGUAAGGGUCUGCUGAUAUCGAAACUUCCUUCCCCUGAUACCAUUCCCAUUUCUCCUACCACAUACUGUGACUCUUACCCAAGAAGCAACU